rnacentral:rRNA from 1 species
UACGGAGGAGGCAAGAGAUAUCCGGAAUUAUUGGGCGUAAAGCGUCCGUCGGUGGUGAUUCAAGUCAGCGGUUAAAGCGUGGGGCUUAACCUCAUACAGGCCGUUGAAACUGGAUUGCUAGAGUGCGGUAGGGGUCGAGGGAAUUCCCAGUGUAGCGGUGAAAUGCGUAGAUAUUGGGAAGAACACCGGUGGCGAAAGCGCUCGGCUGGGCCUGCACUGACACUGAGGGACGAAAGCUAGGGGAGCGAAAGGG